ACAAAGUGCAUUAAUCAGCCCUUGCAGAAAUCAGAUUUGUUGAAAUAACACGGAGACAGACUGUUACACCUGCAAUAAAUCUGCCAGUUGAGAUAUAGGAAGGUUGUACUCUUUGGAAAACUCCAACCAAGCC